UACGUAGGGACCAAGCGUUGUUCGGAUUUACUGGGCGUAAAGGGCGCGUAGGCGGCGUGACAAGUCACUUGUGAAAUCUCUGAGCUUAACUCGGAACGGCCAAGUGAAACUGUUGUGCUAGAGUGCGGAAGGGGCAAUCGGAAUUCUUGGUGUAGCGGUGAAAUGCGUAGAUAUCAAGAGGAACACCUGAGGUGAAGACGGGUUGCUGGGCCGACACUGACGCUGAGGCGCGAAAGCCAGGGGAGCAAACGGG
rnacentral:rRNA from 1 species